GAUGUGUCGUUUGACGCUGUUCGUGUCCACCACAGACUGUUUGUUUAUGUGUGUGAAUUUUGUGGUUAAGAAAAAGAAACAAUUUUGCAUCUUUUUUUCACGAAAACCAUGUGAAAUGUAAUACCUCUUGUUCUUGUGGCAUUGAGUUAAUAAAAAAGCAUUUCCAAUGGCGUUUCUGCGGUAGCCUGCUGAUCCUGACAGGCGUGUAUGGAUGUUUCCCAGAGAUGGGUUGCGGCUGGAAGGGCAUCUGCUGCAUAAAACGUGCUGGAU